rnacentral:rRNA from 1 species
AGUGAAUAGAUACCCGGGUAGUCCACGCCGUAAACGAUGGCCACUAGGUGUGGGGGGUAUCGACCCCUCCGCGCCGACGCUAAACGCAUUAAAGUGGCCGCCUGGGGAGGUACGGCCGCAAGGCUAAAACUACAAAGGAAAUUGACGGGGGCCCGGCACAAGCAGCGGAGCGUGUGGUUUAAUUCGACGCAACGCGAAGAACCUUACCAGGGCUUGACAUGCUUCUUACAAUCCGGGAAACCGGGUGGCCUUCGGCGUGGAGCACAGGUGCUGCACGGCGUGUCGUCAGCUCGUGCCGUGAGGU